GAUAAACGCUGGCGGCGUGCUUUAUGCAUGCAAGUCGAACGGUCUCGAUUUAUCGAGACAGUGGCGAAUGGGUGAGUAACACGUAAGUAACCUGCCCCUAAGUAAGGGAUAACUUCGAGAAAUUGGAGCUAAUACUGUAGUGGUGAUGGGGGUAAGGCUUCAUCACUAAAGCCUUCGGGUGCUUGGGGAGGGGCUUGCGUCCGAUUAGCUAGUUGGUAAGGUAACGGCCUACCAAGGCGAUGAUCGGUAGCUGGUCUGAGAGGACGAUCAGCCACACUGGGACUGAGACACGGCCCAGACUCCUACGGGAGGCAGCAGCAAGGAAUAUUGUGCAAUGGGCGAAAGCCUGACACAGCGACGCCGCGUGAGGGAAGAAGGCCUUCGGGUUGUAAACCUCUUUUCUCAGGGAAGAAAAAUGACGGUACCUGAGGAAUAAGUCUCGGCUAACUACGUGCCAGCAGCCGCGGUAAUACGUAGGAGGCAAGCGUUAUCCGGAUUUAUUGGGCGUGAAGAGGGUGUAGGCGGCUCUUCAAGUUGGAUGUAAAAUCUCCCGGCUCAACCGGGAGGGAACAUUCAAUACUGCUGGGCUAGAGUGCAGCAGGGGGAGGUGGAAUUCCCGGUGGAGUGGUGAAAUGCGUAGAUAUCGGGAGGAACACCAGUGGCGAAGGCGGCCUCCUGGGCUGUUACUGACGCUGAGACCCGAAAGCGUGGGGAGCGAACAGAAUUAGAUACUCUGGUAGUCCACGCCGUAAACGAUGGACACUAGGUAUGGGGAGUAUCGACCCUUUCCGUGCCGAAGCUAACGCUUUAAGUGUCCCGCCUGGGAACACGGUCGCAAGACU
rnacentral:rRNA from 1 species